rnacentral:rRNA from 1 species
AGUGAACGCUGGCGGCGUGCCUAAUACAUGCAAGUCGAACGAAGUGGCGCACGGGUGAGUAAUAUAUAUUUAAUCUGCCCUACACAGAGGAACAACAGUUGGAAACGACUGCUAAUACCUCAUAUUGUAGGAUGAGACUAUAUCGUAUCAGCUAGUUGGUAAGGUAAUGGCUUACCAAGGCUAUGACGCGUAACUGGUAUGAGAGGAUGAUCAGUAACAUUGUAACUGAGACACGGUCGAGACUCCUACGGUAGGCAGCAGUAAGGAAUCUUGCGCAAUGGGGGGAACCCUGACGCAGCAACGCCGCGUGGAGGAUGUCACUUUUCGGAGCGUAAACUCCUUUUAUCAGGAAAGCGGUACCUGAUGAAUAAGCACCGGCUAACUCCGUGCCAGCAGCCGCGGUAAUAC